UACGUAGGGUGCAAGCGUUGUCCGGAAUUAUUGGGCGUAAAGAGCUCGUAGGCGGUUUGUCGCGUCGAAUGUGAAAACCCGCGGCUCAACCGCGGGCCCUGCAGCCGAUACGGGCAGGCUAGAGUUCGGUAGGGGGAGACUGGAAAUUCCUGGUGUAGCGGUGAAAUGCGCAGAUAUCAGGAGGAACACCGGUGGCGAAGGCGGGUCUCUGGGCCGAUACUGACGCUGAGGAGCGAAAGCGUGGGGAGCAAACAGG
rnacentral:rRNA from 1 species